GGAGGGAACAGCUCAGUGGUAGAGCACAUGCUUAACAUGCUCGUGGUCCUGGGUUCAAUCCCUAGUACCUCCA
rnacentral:tRNA from 1 species